AUGCACUGGCUUCGCUGAUUCCUCCUUUCUGAAGAACUGUAAUGCCAUUAAUUUGGUGUUGCAGGGAAACAGGACUGUUACUUUGAAAAAAUUAGAGUGUUUAAAGCAGGCUAACGCUUGAAUACAUUAGCAUGGAAUAAUGAAAUAGGACGUUUGAUCCUAUUUUGUUGGUUUCUAGGAUUGACGUAAUGAUUAAUAGGGAUAGUUGGGGGCAUUAGUAUUCAAUUGUCAGAGGUGAAAUUCUUGGAUUUAUUGAAGACUGACUACUGCGAAAGCAUUUGCCAAGGAUGUUUUCAUUAAUCAAGAACGAAAGUUAGGGGAUCGAAGACGAUCAGAUACCGUCGUAGUCUUAACCAUAAACUAUGCCGACUAGGGAUCGGAUGAUGUUAAUUUUUUAAUGACUCAUUCGGCGCCUUACG
rnacentral:rRNA from 1 species